GGCAAGUGCUUUUACUCACUGAGCCAUCUUGCUGGCUCACUCCAUACAUACUGUUGAGUGAACCAGAGACUCAUAGGCAAGGAUACACAUGGAGUUGUGUACAAAUUGCCUUGGAAUCUCAAGGCAACUGGGCUGGUAGACAGGGAUUGGGUGGUCAAUUAAAUGAUAUGAUUGUCUUGCCCAGGCAUGUGUACAGCCACAGAGAUGUGACAUUUCAUCAGUUCCCUAUAGAAAUGAUCCCACUGAGAUGGCCAGGGACAUCUUUUAUACACCUGGGAAGGGCUUCCCUCUGGCAGGUGGCUCUCUUGGCAGGAUACUUGUUCCAAGGCCUCAGAGGUGCAAACUACACAGAUCUACUGAAGGACCAGAGGCUGGGGCCUCCACCCUCAAACAGCUCUGAUCUCCCAGCUCUGCAACACUGAGGGAGGGACACCAUCCUUCUCUCAGGCAGUUCUGUUG
rnacentral:lncRNA from 1 species